UGCAGUUGACCCUUGCCUAUCUAUCCUUCCUGCAGGUUGAGGGUUCAUCUGCACCGCACCCAUACCUGUCACCAGUUCCUAGAAUCUCCAGGCUGGCACUCUUGAGACUGGGUUGGGAAUGGAGAAGUACCAGUAAUAACUCCUGAGCACAAAGUCAAGGACACAUGGGAACAAGCUUCCCACACUCCUAGACAGCAGCUCUCCAGGUAUCGAACUGAGAUCCUGGGGAAGGAUUUUAUCUGAUAUGACACCAAGGAUUCAAGAGUUCAUUCAUAGGCCAAGUGUUCAAGACUUGCUGUGGGUGAUCAGACCCCUCCUGCAGAACGGGGGUCCAGAGACCUUCACACAGCUGAUGGACAUCCUGUCUGAUCUCCUGUGUGGCUACCCAGAGGGAGGAGGCUCUCAGGUGUUCUCCUUCAACUGGUAUGAAGACAAUAACUAUAAGGCCUUCCUGGGAACAGACUCCACAAGGAAGGAUCCUAUUUAUUCGUAUGACAAAAGGACAAGUAAGUUUUCUGAGUCUGUGUGCAAAUUUGCUUGCUGUGUUGGUUAAGAUGUUGGUUAGUGCUUUCAGGUAAAAUCAGUUCAGAAGUUGACUGUCUCUUGGUCUUGUUGAAUGGCUGUGAGCAAAGACUUUUCUUCCAGAAAGUCUGCUUUUCCUUGCAGAAAGAGAGUGGUGCUAAUAAAAAAAAAUUGCUGGAUAUAAGCCAUCGAAAGCACUGAGGCCCUCUUGGAAAGGGAACACAGGGGAACAUUUCCCACUGAUGUAAUUGAACUGAGGUUAAG
rnacentral:lncRNA from 1 species